CUGGUUGGGGGGGGCCGAGACCCAUGUCCCCUCCUGGCUGGGGUGAGGGGUCCCCUGUCCCCUCCUGGCUGAAGGUGGGGUGUGGUGUCCCAUGUCCCCUCCUGGUUGGACUGGGGGGGAACCCGUGUCCCUUCCUGGCUAGGGGGGGGAUGACCCAUGUCCCCUCCUGGCCAGGGAUGCAUUGGAAGAAGGAUGGGGGGGGGCAUGCCCCUAUCUGUCUGGGGUGGCCUGUGUCCCCUCCUUGCUCUCAGAGGGUCCCAUGUCCCCACUUGGCUGUGGGGCCAGGAUGUGAUGCAGAGGCGGGGUGGCCCAUGCCCUUGGCCGCGGGGCCAGGGUCCCUGGCGAGAAGCUUCUUGCACCCAAGCGAGCACUUCGCAACCACCAGUAGCGCAGGACUUGGCGCAGGGAAUGCUCCUUUCUCCUGCAGAGAAGUUUGCUGGUGCCGUUUGUUGUAGUGUGGAUCCUGCACGUUGCUCUGUGGAGCCGGAGAACCCCACCAAAAGCACGGAUUAACCUACAUGGCCUUAAUCGCGACAAGCGGCAACACCACCCGGGUGUGGAUUUUCCCAUACUGUCCUACCCAGGGCUGCACUGCUGUGGGAAUGUGCAUCAUUCCUGGCCAAACUGCACGUGGGGGAUGCUCCAGGUCUCCCCCCGGAAGGUACCAGCACCACAGGCACUGAAAUUCCAGAGCUGUUUAGGUUCUAAAAGACCUUUAAGAUCACCAAGUCCAACCCUAAACCUCACACUGCCAACCCCACCACUAAACUGUGUCCCCAAGCAAACUGUGUCCCCUUUGGACACGACCAUCCUGUUAGCAAACACCCUUUGUCAGGCACAGCUCGUGUUAGAGAGCCGCCCAAAACAGGUGUCCAAAAUCCUUAGCAUGGAUUUCUUUUCAGAGCAGCAGUUUCUUUUCCUUGCUGUGUUUUACAAGCAGCGUUUCAGCUGUCGGGAGCCUACAAACGCAGCAGUGACUGGAAAGCUCCCGGCUAGGAGGGGGCAUUGACGGUGCCGCAGAUGCGCUCCUCUGCGGGCAGGAUUUUGUACCUUGGAUCAGCAGCCUUUGUCACUGCUUGUCACCAUGGGAAAUUAAAUGGGAGGACAGAGGGGCCAGGAAAAAAAUACAAGCACUUUUGAAUUAUCAGACUUCAGAACUGCAUUGAAUUUGAAAGAGUUUGAGCUUUUCAGCAUCUCUUUUAUAUAUAUAUAUAUAUAUAUAUAUUAUUCUCAGCUUACAUGCAAAAUGUGUUGGAUGGGGCUUGGAGCCCCUGAUCCAGUGGGAGGUGUCCCUGCCCAGCAGGGGUGGAACUGGAUGGGCUUUGAGGUCCCUUCCAACCCAAACCAUUCCAUCGUUCUAUGAAUGUGUUUGUUAGAUGCUAAAUGCUGAGGCCCCCGUGACGAGUCACCAAGGUUUAUCUGAAUCAUUCUGCAAUGGUAAAGAACUUGAUAGGAUGAGAAAUGCUACUUUGAGUUCUCAAAUUGGGAUGAAAAAGCUAAUUACUUGCUUUUUCCUGUAAAUCAAAGACUGGCUAAAAUCUUUGCCUUUCCAGGUCUUCAGUGUUUGAAGGAAACCAUUGUCUGUUGGUGGUAAUAGGACUUUGUUUGUUUGUUUGUAGAAAUCCUCUGUGGUUUUGAAAGCUGACCUUUGUGUCCAAAUCCAAUUGAAAUAAGAAAUAUGCGAGCAGCCCUUUCCUGUGUGUUUGGGAAACACUUUAGAAUGAACAUUCUGGAACGAUCCUUCCAGCAUCUCUUUUAUUACUGCUCAAAUUUCCCAUCUCUCCUCAUUUCAGGGUGUCCAUUUCCUAUCUGUUAAGAAGGUAAUGAAACUGCAUCUCUCUUCAAGGACCUGAAGAACGCGGAGCAGUGAAGGUGUUAACAUAUUAAAGAAAUGGCCUUAUAAAAGAGUUAAUCCUUUCCAGCGGGGCAGGCUAUGAUGUGAGAGGGAUACUUUCCAGUCCUGAGUCUUCCUUAAAGUCUAAAGCAACGAGCGCUGCUACGAUUUUUCCAUGAAACCUGGCUGGCUUUGCUGGCCAGCUGGUGUUCCCCCUGGCCCAGGGUUGGGGUCCGUCUGUCCCCAGCCUGCCCAAGCGUGUCGAGUGUCAGAUGGUGGGGCUGAGCAGCCAGGCAGUGGUAAGAAAUCAGAGAGAUGGCACCAUGUGGAGGCUACACGCUGAAACACGGCCUCUGCCAGUUAUUAAUCGUACAGCGAACGAGCCAGCUUCCCUUUCCUUAGACAAGAAUCCAUGUUCGAGGCCAACCCCGGUCUCAGUCGAGGUUUCUGGGCUGCUUGAGUGGCUCAAGACCUUUAUUGCUUUUCUCCUACUGGUCACAUAGAAUGACCUGAGUUGGAAGGGACCCACAGGGAUUAUCGAGUCCAACUUCUAUCCCUGCGUAUGACAACCCUAAGAUUCACACCCUCUGUCUGAGGGCAUUGGCCAAAUCCUUCUGGGAUGUGGUCAGGCUACUGUGGUAUCGUGCUCUUAUAAAUUGGUGCAUUAUCUCGGUUCCAUAGAGUGAUAUGCGGGCGCUACUUCUUCCCCGAGGCACGGCACCAAAGCUGAAGUGUGAUGCCUUUUUCUCUUCACCUUUGUAACACCAGGACCUAGGUUCAGCUGGUCUGUGCUCAAAACUGAUGGGUAAUCUUAAUUUAUCCAAGCCAGCUUCGAACAGCAGCAUUUUUAGAUAUUCUUGUACACUUGGUGGAGAAUAAGUUAAGAGGAGGCAUCAAGAGGGAAUGACUUCUGUUCUCUUGGAGUUACUGUGUUCAGACAAAGCAGAUUGCUGACGAGCACUGUGGCUUUGGCAUCAUGAUAAGCUGCAUGGACUCAGACCCAGGACUAUCCCACGCACAGGAUGCUCUCUCCAAUGUUUUCUUUACAAUACCAUUUUUUUUUUAAGAUCAUGUAUUCCUCAAUUUGUUUUAACUGAUGCUUUUUCACAGCAUUUUCACUGUUCCAAUACAAAAGAGAUAUAGAAGACACACACGGUAGUUUGAAGCACCAAAUCUAAGUUAAACGCUAUUCGAUUUUCCUAGCAUUUAGGAGGCCAACUGCAAUUGGCAGAUGCUGCAGUCCAGAGAGCUCCCAUAACACUUGCAGGACACUGAACAGCAUGAUCUGCUGGCAGAUGAACAGGAAGAGUUUUCUGCCUCCGUUUGGCUCUAUUUAAAGUCACCUUUUUGAUCAGUUUUUCAGCCUCCGGGGCUGCUCGUGUCCCAUGAGGCUGAUAAAGGAGUUCAUGAGCACAGAAAAAAAAAGAAAAGAUCAGAAUAUUCAUGCAACUGGUUCACAGCAGCAUCGAGACUUCGUGCCAGGCCCUGCGCUCCUUCCACUCUGCCGUGGUGGAAACCAUGAGCAGAUGGUGCAGUACAGUGGAAAAUCAGAUCUCUGAAAACGACCGAGCUGAGAAUAAAACACCUCUAAGCAGAAAUCUACGUUUUACUGCAGGAUGAAAUGAAAAACUGAGAUCUUUGGGCAAAAAGAGUGGUGUAUUCCUCACUCCUUCUCAUCUGAGAAAGCAUCCAUCCCUUCACAGCUGAAGGCUCAUCUCAUUUGUUGUCUUUCAGUUCAUUGAUCUGGAUUCUUGGGGCUUCCACGUGACCGUUCUUUGCUGAACCAACAAGCGUGGUUAUCACUGAGUUUUCUUUCGUUUUUACUUUCUCCCAGACCUUUCCGAGUCUCUGCCCACUUUGGCUGCAGCGUGACCUGAAUUGCAUCCAUCUUUGUUUAAAGCCACUGGAGCAUAAACAUCCGGAUAAAAUAGAUUCCAUCUGAAAUCCGUGGAGUUCUUCUGGAUCCUUCUGAAGGACAUACCUGACAAGGAACCAAAUCCAUUCAUCAGGAGGGCGUUGAAAUAAGGGCACCGUGAUACCCCAUCAUCGUUAUCAUCGUUUAUAACAACUCCACGCACCAAGCUUGCUGGAAAAAUAUCCAAGAUUUUGCCAAUUACUAAAGCAGAUUCUGCUGCCCCAGAGAGUUGCUGCUCCUUGGUAAUUUGCCAUCCGGCUUUUCCUUCCAAAGGGAAAAUGAAUGCACAGGGUGCUUGGGGUCAAUUUUUGGUGGCUGAUAUGAAGUCACUGUCUAUGCUACUGUCAGUGGCCCUUUCACUGUAAUGCGCUUUACUGUACAGGGGACAAAUGCUGUUUCCAUGGCAGUGUAAACAUAAAUACAGGACUCCGGAGUGAGUCACAGGUGCUGCAGGGGAUGGAGAAAGUUCACUGUCUCAAUGUGAACUCAUCUGGGAGAGGAGGAUGGGAUUAUCUCACUUUAAAAAUAUUUUAUAAAUAUGAUGUAAACCAAGAUUUAUUCUGAAUAAGUCCAUGUCUGGGCAGAUAUGGAAGAGAAAUCCUUUGAAGCUAAAGGAAUAAUACAAGGCAGGUUCUUGUUUACAGUGUUCAACUCUAUAACGAGUGUAUUCUUAAAGGAUACACACAACCUGAUAGCUCUGGGAGCCAGUACAAAUUCUCCACGAACCCUUUAUUCCAGGCUUUCACAGAGUUGUGACAAGAAUUUAACGAUUGUGAAUGAAGAGUAAGUUCCAGAGUAAGUGAAUGAAGAGUAAGAGGAGAAGAUGGAUAGAUCUGUGGUGACUACAUAGUGCUGGUACGAAGUACUGAUCGAGAUGCUUCUUUGUGUUGCUUGUGUCAGCCUUAGGAGGUCUGGGCACAUCAAAUGUGUGAUAGGGACCUGUGCCUGGUGCCUGAGAGUUUGAAGACAAAGGCUUUAAAGCCUGAAAUAGCAAGAAUCUGACCUUGAGUAUCAGCAGCGUGCACCUCACAAGUCUCUUGUAAGAUCACUUAUCUAGAGCUUGUACCUGGAUAUAUGGAUUCAGAGGAAAAUGAACCUUGGAUAGAAUUAAAAUCUAAGAUGUAAGGUGCAUGUUGUGACAGGGACAAGAGGUGGUGAGCCCUGUCUUGGGGGAAUAAACCAUGCACUCAGUAAAUAUGGGAGCAAGAGUUUUCCCUAGCAAGAGUUUUCUUCUAAGCCCUAAAACCUAGAGGUUGGGUUAUGAUCCCAAGCCAGAGAGUUUAUAUCCCUUCAUCAGAAUGAAUUAAUUCUUUAACUUUGCAGCUCAGAAAGAGGACUUAACUGCUUCUUCUACUAACCCAAAUCUUUCCCCAGGACCUAUUCUGCCUGCAGAGUAUUCAACUCAAUUGCCCAGAUUUCCAAAGUCUGCUUUGAGCAGGAAUACUUCCUUUUGACCUUACCGCAAGCAAAACCAAAGCAAUGUCACGGCAAAACUGCAGAUUGCUCUUGGCUGGGCUGACGUGUGAAUGUUAACAAUGGGAAUUCAGGACUUGAGAGUCACAAAGGUAAAACAGAUCCUGAAGGCUCAGGAUCGCUAUUUGUACUCAAGGGAGAGCACACAACACCCAGAGAGUUUGGAACAAAGUUAGCAGCAGUAGGAGUUGAGAUCAGCUGUGGGAAUAAGGGUUAAGGGAGAAAUAGACACUUCUAUUACAUCAACUGAUAUAGCUGUGGGUGUUUGACCUAAACCGGCCACAGCCCCGUGGGUGAGGGCCCGAAUCAAAAGGAGAAGGACAAUGAAUCUGCCGGUCGCGGUGUUGGAGGGUGUCUUGGCAUACAGACAUUGAGAUGGUUUGGAAUCCUCCCUCCUGCAGCCAAUGGAAAAUGAAAUGAAUAUCUACAAACAGCAGCAUCUUUCUGAGUGAAGGUGAUGAGUCUGGGCAACUCAUUAACAACACACCACGGCCAGUAACGUCUGCCUCCAGAUCACAUCGGGUGUCGUGCGUGCAGCCUCAGGGAGAAAAGGAAUAUGUGAGGAAAACAGAGGGGGAGCCGUGCUUGGCGCUGGCUGGUUUGGGCUGUUUCAUCACCUCUUCCCUGCCCUUCCCCCAUGGGAACAGUCACUUCUGACUGCUCUGCGCUGUCUGUUUAAAUCACAUCAAUUUAAAAGGGUUAUGCGAGGCUGUAUUUCAUCAAACAUUUGCUGUGACCAGGUGUCUCGCUCUGUCUCCUUUCCCAGAUUUAUCCAGAGGUAAUUAUCUCCUGUUGGACAGGCGUUUCCCCUUGGGGACCAACAAGGAUAUCCACUUAAAAAUUAAAAAAUAAUUGGAACUAACAGAAUGCCUGCAGAUCGCUAUCCUGUUACCCCUGCUCCGGAGCACGGAUCUCGCCCCUGCCAUCUGCUCUGUCCCAAUGGGGCAGGGGUAA